rnacentral:hammerhead_ribozyme from 1 species
AUGUGCUGGCGAAUCCCAAAUAGGACGAAACGCGCGUCCUGGAU